GCCUUUAAGGUGACACGUGCCUGUAGUCCCAGCUACUCGGGAGGCUGAGGCUGGAGGAUCCCUUGAGCCCAGGAGUCCUGGGCUGUAGUGUGCUAUGCUGAUCAGGUGUCCACACUAAGUUCAGCAUCAAUAUGGUGACCUCCGGGGAGCGAGGGACCACCAGGUUGCCUUACGAGGGGUGAACCGGCCCAGGUCAGAAACGGAGCAGGUCAAAACUCCAGCGCUGAUCAGUAGUGGGAUCAUGCCUGUGAACAGCCACUGCACUCCAGCCUGGGCAACGUAGCGAGACCCCGUCAAUU
ensembl:misc_RNA Metazoa_SRP Metazoan signal recognition particle RNA